AUGCCGGUAGGUGUUCCCAAAGUAGCCUUUGAUGUUCCCGGCGAGGAUGAAGCUUCUUGGAUUGACUUAUACUAUCGACUUUUUCACGAAAGACUACUUUUUUUAGGUAAAGAGGGUAAUGCUGCAUCAACCUGCUAGUUCUUUUUAUGAGGGAAACACGGGCGAAUCUAUGAUGGAAGUGACGGAAAUAAUGAAAAUGCAAACAACUAUGAUAAAUAUUUAUUGCCAAAGAACAGGCAAACCUUCCUGGCAGAUAUAUAAAGACAUGGAAAGGGAUUUUUUUAUGUCAGCAGAAGAAGCCCAAGCCUACGGAAUAAUUGAUACAGUAGCGGAUUCUUUGUAA